GCCCUAGUAACGGCGAGUGAAGCGGCAACAGCUCAAAUUUGAAAUCUGGCCCUUGGGUCCGAGUUGUAAUUUGUAGAGGAUGCUUUUGGUGCGGUGCCUUCCGAGUUCCCUGGAACGGGACGCCAUAGAGGGUGAGAGCCCCGUCUGGUUGGACACUAAGCCUCUGUAAAGCUCCUUCGACGAGUCGAGUAGUUUGGGAAUGCUGCUCUAAAUGGGAGGUAUAUGUCUUCUAAAGCUAAAUAUUGGCCAGAGACCGAUAGCGCACAAGUAGAGUGAUCGAAAGAUGAAAAGCACUUUGAAAAGAGGGUUAAACAGUACGUGAAAUUGUUGAAAGGGAAGCGCUCGUGACCAGACUUGGGCCCGGUUAAUCAUCCACCGUUCUCGGUGGUGCACUUGGCCGGCCCAGGCCAGCAUCAGUUCGGCGUGGGGGAUAAAGGUAGCGGGAAUGUGGCUCCUCCGGGAGUGUUAUAGCCCGUUGCGCAAUGCCCUGUACCGGACUGAGGUUCGCGCAUCUGCAAGGAUGCUGGCGUAAUGGUUAUCAGCGACCCGUCU
rnacentral:rRNA from 1 species